rnacentral:lncRNA from 1 species
GGGGAUGCAAAGGAGCAGCUAAAUGACAGGAUUAAAAAUAAAAAAGUGGUGAGUGAUGCACAACAAAAGGACUUGAAUACUAAAGAUAACGGGGAAUGUAACCACACCAGGUAGCAUGAUGGAUACUUCAUUCAUUCAGACGGGACUAAGAUUAGGUACUUCAUUCAUUCAAGACGGGAAAUGUAAACAUGAUAAUGAAAUUACACAGAUCCACAAUAAUGAAGCAAAAAUCCAAACUCGUGUGCAAAGAAAUUUGACUGCUACCCAUUUAAAUGUGGUCUUCAACAUCUAAUAUAUCAAAGAUAGAAAUAAUAGAGCUCCAGUAAAAUCUUCAAUUCAACAGAAAAUAAAGAAAAAAUCACAGGUAUAUGCAUUUAUACACUUACUAGAUGGGACUAAGAUGACUUCGAAGGAGAUUUGUGGACUCCGUAAAGAUGAACAUCGAGUGCUCUUGAGCUCGCUUGCAGCCGGAGUACUUCAAGCAUG